CUCCUCCAUCUCUAGCUUUUUGGUGGCUAACUGGAGAUAAGAAUCUUAUGGAUUUCUCCUGCCCAGGCUUACUUCCAACUGUGAUCCUCAGAUGUCAGCCUCCUGAAUAGUUAGGAUUACAGGUAUGAGCCACUAUUGCCUGGCCAGAACACUUUUUAAACGAAAUAAAACCAUAUAUAUUAAUGUUGGGAGCUAAGCUUAACAUUUAUGUUGAAAAUAUAGGUUGGAUUAAAUACAUUUUAUGGGGCAUGGGUAUGGUUAUAAUUAAAAAAGGCAUACAUUUGGCACUAAAUGAAACAAAUGAAGAUGAGCAAAACUAGGUGACUGUCAACUGCUCCCAUCUUGAA